rnacentral:rRNA from 1 species
GAUAAACGCUGGCGGCGUGCUUAACACAUGCAAGUCGAACGAAGUUUUUCCUUCGGGAGAAACUUAGUGGCGGACGGGUGAGUAACGCGUGGGUAACCUGCCCUGUACAGGGGGACAACAGCUGGAAACGGCUGCUAAUACCGCAUAAGCACUUAGCACUGCAUGGUGCAUAGGGAAAAGGAGCAAUCCGGUACAGGAUGGACCCGCGUCUGAUUAGCCAGUUGGCAGGGUAACGGCCUACCAAAGCGACGAUCAGUAGCCGAUCUGAGAGGAUGUACGGCCACAUUGGGACUGAGACACGGCCCAGACUCCUACGGGAGGCAGCAGUGGGGAAUAUUGCACAAUGGAGGAAACUCUGAUGCAGCGACGCCGCGUGAGUGAAGAGGUAUUUCGGUAUGUAAAGCUCUAUCAGCAGGGAAGAAAAUGACGGUACCUGACUAAGAAGCACCGGCUAAAUACGUG